rnacentral:lncRNA from 1 species
GAGGAGCCCAGGGACAUAUUUCACAGCUAAGUCAACUGCUUUUCUUCAAAUUCAGAUUUAAUCCUUGAGUGAAAUGAGUCACUGGCUCAUCCAGUUAAGAUCAUCACCCACUUUCCUAACAAAACUUCUCUUCAAAGAAGGACUCGCUCAUCCAUCAGGUGGACCUCCACAGGAACAAAUCAUAUCCAUGUCAGGCGGCACCAAACCUAAAUCUGCUUCUGCCUCAGCAGACAGGACAUGUUGAGUUUGGCCAGUGAGUGCUGCAGGAUACUGGAGGGAGGGCAACAGAGAGGAAGGUCACCUACAUGUCUAUGUUCAGAAGCUGCCUUGAUGCCACAUGCGGGAGGCUGGAAACGCUGAAGGAUGACCACUGCUCAGCAGCAGUCUACCAGUGAUGGAUGAGAGUUGGUGCACAAAUACCCCAGCUCCCUUGCCUCUCAGUUUGGAUAAUCCUGAAAAGACCCAGCAAGAAAUGAUUCCAAGAUCACCUAGCUGAUCUCAUGCUCUAUCUGGAUUUGAGUGAAGAUAUACAUAUUCACCAAGUCUUGACUCAGUCACCUUUUGUGCAGGCCCAAUAGAAGCAAAUGCAGGUAUGAUCUGGAGAAGCAUAUCUUGAAUCUCAAAAAGUCAGGACAGACAACACCAUAAGAAACAGCAGGGGGAAAAGAAAAAAGCAGAAUCAGGCUCAGAACUACAGACACCUUCAGAGGGCAGUGUUCCAUUUUAUUGAGGGAGAUCUGAAGAGAUGAAGUGACUUGCCAGAGCACAGGUCCAGUAAGUGUCAGGUUUCAAGUUCUUUGAGUUGAGAUUCAGUCAUUUGAAAGCCAUUUAUCUAGUGGAAUAACACC